UACAGAGGUCCCAAGCGUUGUUCGGAUUCAUUGGGCGUAAAGGGUGCGUAGGCGGUGCCGCAAGUCAGAUGUGAAAUCUCGGGGCUUAACCCCGAAACUGCAUUUGAUACUGCGGUGCUCGAGGACUGGAGAGGAGACUGGAAUUCACGGUGUAGCAGUGAAAUGCGUAGAUAUCUGCAGGAACACCCGUGGCGAAAGCGGCGCGCUGGACCACUACUGACGCUGAGGAACGAAAGCUAGGGGAGCAAACAGG
rnacentral:rRNA from 1 species